UUGAAAGGGAAACGAUUGAAGUCAGUCGUACCUUCGGGUAAUCAGCCUUUCGGGUGCGAUUCUGUGGAGCGUGGGGAGUUAAACGCCUUCAUGCCUGCAUAUUCGUGCACUUUGGGUGUACUUGCCCGUGUGGUAGGUUAACAUCAAUUUCGGAUGUCAUAAAAUGGCUGGAGGAAUGUAGCUUCGGUCUCGUACUGAAGUGUUAUAGCCUUUGGUAGAUGUGAUGACCGGGAUUGAGGAUUGCAACGAAUACCUUUUGGGCUAUCCGUCUGAUCUCUGAAAGUUGCUCUGGUGCCGAAAGCUUGCUUACGGUUAUCAAAGUUGACGUUCAAAAGGUUAGAACGGGUUAAAUUCGUUAAGGAUGUUGACGUA
rnacentral:rRNA from 1 species